GACAGCAGUCGCCACGGGAAUACGGAGGGUGCAAGCGUUAAUCGGAAUUACUGGGCGUAAAGCGCACGCAGGCGGUCUGACAAGUCAGAUGUGAAAUCCCCGGGCUUAACCUGGGAACUGCAUUUGAAACUGUCAGGCUGGAGUCUUGUAGAGGGGGGUGGAAUUCCAGGUGUAGCGGUGAAAUGCGUAGAGAUCUGGAGGAAUACCGGUGGCGAAGGCGGCCCCCUGGACAAAGACUGACGCUCAGGUGCGAAAGCGUGGGGAGCAAACAGGAUUAGAUACCCGGGUAGUCCCUGUCUCUUAUAC
rnacentral:rRNA from 1 species